CACACUCAUGAAAACUCAUGGGCGCAGAAUUACGCUCGAAGGCCCAGGGCCGAGCGGACACGUCCUGAUGCCAGAGGAAACGGAAAUGCCUCCGCUCGCAUUUAUGCUAACUUUACCACCGCUUAAUUGUCGGUUUCAUCGUGGAAAAAGAAGCACCAAACACCGUUCUCUCGCUGCAAACUAAGCCGUUUCAUAGAAGAAAAGCUUCGGCUUAUAGAAGUCGGACCUGACCAGCCGAACGUCGUCAUGAAUCAGCAAACGAAAGACAGAGGGAGGAAUUACACUUUCGCCAGGAGCUGGUAUGAGAAGGACUGGCUAACUGGUUGCCCUCAGCCCAGAGCCAUGUUCCGUUCUCCCUGUCACCUUUUUCAGAUGACGGACACCGAACAAGCCUGGAUUCGGACAGGUUGAACCAUAGGGUGGACUGUGUGAUGCCAACUUAGUCGAGUCAACAAAAGCCCUCAGGAGUUUGGCUUGUUGGAGCAGAGUGUAAAGUCUCCGGGGACUACUCCUCUGGUGGUGGGGGCACCGCCUCGACCUCACUCAUGCCUGGUGUGGGUGGCAUCCAUCGAGGGAGACGCUCAAUGGAGAGCAGGACUGAAGACGGUGAUGCUUGUGGUGGACUCUCCGAGGACUGAGCCUUAUUCUCAGGGUCAUGCAUUCCAGCAAUCUCUGUAAUUAUAAGCAAGUUAUUCACGAGGGACAGGCCGUGUCAGACAGUUUUCGGAGCAUCAUGAGCAACCUUCCUCGGAUGAUGAUUCUUCCACUUGAAGGUAAAAAAACAACAACUUCUGAGCAAGAGAGUACUGUAACUCAGAGAGUGAACCGUGCAAGCAUUGAGUCAAGUAAACCCCCUUUCCCUGUUACUUUGUCACUAAUGAAAGUAGCAGCAAAGAGCCCUGGAGGACUGAAGAGCACUGUUUGUUUGCGUUUGAGAGAGCAUUCGAGAGGUACAGGGGGAGGCACGGUGGUAAAACUUUGGGAGAGCCGUCUGACGGAGCGCUGAGACAGAGAGCGGGAACUUUGGAGCGUUGUUGAGAUUAAAGUUUUAAGGCAGUUGAGACCUCCUGACAGAUUCCCAGAACCUACAAAUAGAUGUUUUAUAUACGUGUGUU